rnacentral:rRNA from 2 species
UGGGCCUCAAAUAAUGUGUGAC